GUCCACGCCGUAAACGGUGGAUGCUGGAUGUGGGGCCCGUUCCACGGGUUCCGUGUCGGAGCUAACGCGUUAAGCAUCCCGCCUGGGGAGUACGGCCGCAAGGCUAAAACUCAAAGAAAUUGACGGGGGCCCGCACAAGCGGCGGAGCAUGCGGAUUAAUUCGAUGCAACGCGAAGAACCUUACCUGGGCUUGACAUGUUCCCGACAGCCGUAGAGAUACGGUCUCCCUUCGGGGCGGGUUCACAGGUGGUGCAUGGUUGUCGU
rnacentral:rRNA from 1 species